GGUUGAAUUCUCAAAUAACUUAAAAAAAAAUAGCAUGAUUGUAGAUUUUAGACAUCUACCAUUUUGUUCAGAUAUAUUUGAAUCUACAGGAUUAUCAGUGGAAUUUCGGUUUGAUCGUGGUUCGUUUUAGUUCAUCCUUCGAGUGUGAUAAUAUCAUGAAAAAUAUUUCGGAUAUACCACGUUUUUCAGAAUUGAGUUGAAAACUUAUAUUUUUCAUUACUU